rnacentral:rRNA from 1 species
AUACAGGGGGUGCGAGCGUUAAUCGGAAUUACUGGGCGUAAAGAGUACGUAGGCGGUUGCUUAAGUCAGAUGUGAAAGCCCCGGGCUCGACCUGGGAACUGCAUUUGAAACUGAGUGACUAGAGUUUAAGAGAGGGGAGUAGAAUUCCGGGUGUAGCGGUGAAAUGCGUAGAGAUCCGGAGGAAUACCAGUGGCGAAGGCGGCUCCCUGGCUUAAAACUGACGCUGAGGUACGAAAGCGUGGGUAGCAAACAGGAUUAGAAACCCCAGUAGUCC